rnacentral:lncRNA from 9 species
GUGGGAUUAUGUUUGGGCAAGUGGAAGAAAUGAAGACAAAGACAGCCUCCCCGGAGCCUGAAUCCUCCAAUUUACGCCUUUGCAAAAUAGCAUCUGAUCAUUCUCCUUGGUGUAUGCAUAGGACAAAGACACAGUGGUCUCCAACGGAUUAUUUUCCCCUUUUCUUCAGUGAUAGGACCACCAGUCCACAGCUGGGCACAUGGCCAUGCUAAAUAUAGACUGUAUUUGCCAGUCUCCUUUGGCAGCUGUUUCCAGCCACAGAACUAAAUUCCAGCCAAUGGGAUAAGAGAAGCGGAUAUCUACAAGUUUCAGGAAAAGUCCUUAAAAAGAAUAGUGGGAGUUCCCAUCUAUGGUUCAUGAACCCAACUGGUAUCCAUGAGGAUGUGAUUUCGAUCCCUGGCCCCUCUAGGUGGAUGAAGGAUCCUGUGUUGCCGUGAGCUGUGGUGUAGGUCGCAGACACAGCUUGGAUCCCCCGUUGCUGUGUCCGUGGGGGUAGGCCGGCGUGGCUAUGGCUCCAUUGGUCCCCUAGCCUGGAAACCUCCACUUGCCACAGGUGCAGCCCUAAAAAAGGGUGGAUGGGGACAGUGGACGCUUCUUCUCUUCAUUACCCAUUCGUCUUUCUCAUGCAGACAGGAUGGCCAGUGCUCCAUCUUGGACCCUAAGAAUGAGGGUGAGAUUCUUGAGUUGGUGGAACAGAAAGUUGGAGACACCUGGGGCCCAGAUGAUUUGAGAGCUGCCAUAAAAGCCCUGGACAUCUUACACUCAGACUUUUGCAUGAAGGAGAGAUGCGUUCUAUACUCUCCUAUUGUUUUUGCACCGCUGUGAUUUGGAACCUUAAAGUUGGUGCUGCACCUGCAAUGCCAGAAGUAGGGUCUUUGCUGGAGCCUCAGGCCUAUGGGAGACAGCCAUGGUUGGUGAAUGAAUGCACGGUGACUUUUCCACUCCUAUCAGACAGGGCGAACAUCAUUGGAAACUGUUCUCAUUCAUACAGGACAGACGAGAGCAUACAUUUACAGUGUCGCCCAGAGCAAUGUUACCUCUCCUGCCAUCUGUCACAACAUGCUCACAGGCACCUAACUACCCGGACAGGACGUUCCGUAGACUGUCUCACUAGUCCAUGCCACCAGUGAGCUUCUGCUAACCAGAUGAGUAAGAAGUGGCUGGCAGGCUGAAGAUCUUGGGGUGCCCCUUGAAAGUGGGACGUAAACUGAAGAUUCAGGGACCUGUCACAUCAGGGAAGUGUGUAGGGACAUCCCAGGACCUUCCCUCAGAUUAAAGGGCAAAUGAUUGCAUCUGUUUCUUCUCAGCACCAAGAAGGAAACACAAUUCUUGGUAGCCUGCUUCUGGCUCUGGAACCAGCAUUUUUCAUACUUGAGAAUGACGUCUGACCCAUUUACUAAGUGUUAUGAGAGGCAGCAAGAUCUGAAUCAGGCCCAGAGCAGGAAAGAGGUUCAUGUAAUUGCAGACUGAUGCUCAGGCCGUUGGAUCCAGCAGACACCAAGUAGUGAAGGCAUCUAUGGUGGGAAGUCACUGUGUGGGGUGGAUGGCAAAGCCCAAUAGAGGAAUCUCAGCAUAGACCCUAGACUUUGGGAGGACCACAUCUCCUACAGGGGAAAAUCCUACAGCAUUGGAGAGCCAUGUCCUGGUGUGCCACUUGCCGCUGGUAAAGAUUUGACCGUGAGCCAUCAAUUGUCCAUGUGUUUAGAGCUGCCCAACAAGAGCAAGGUUCUGUCAGACCCACCAAGUCAAAAGGUUGAGCAGACCCAAGAGCAAUCCAUUGUUUGAUGGAGAACAUUCAGGACUGGGAGCUGAUCGACUGGGAGCUGAUCAGGGCUAAAGGGGAUAAAUAAACCACAGGCCAAAGUCAUCAAAAACAGGAAAGUCUGAGAUACUGUCGUAGCCAAGAGGAAACUAAAGAGACAUGACAAUUCAAGAAAUGGGGUGGAUGGCAUCCUGAACAGACCCAACCCAGGGUCCCACGAAGACACUAGGUGACAACUGGGGCUCUCGGAAUAAACUGGACUUGGUUAAUGAUAAUGUGUCAAUAUUGGUUCAUUGGUUGUAACAAACAAAACCUAGGCCUGGAAGAUGCUCAUAACAGGGGAAACCCAGGCAUGGACUAUAUGAGAACUUUCUACUCAGUUUUUCUGUAAACCUAAAUCUAUUCUAAAAAUUGUCUAUUAAUUUAAAAAUAUAUAACAAUAAAAAAUUGAAUUUUGUCUCAUUUUACACCAGACACAAAAAUUAACUCAAAAUGGAUCAUAGAACUAAAUAUAAAAAAACCUAAAACUGUAAAAAUUCCACAAAAAAGAGCGAGGAGGAAAUCCUUGUGAUCAGGGAUUAGGCAAAGAUUUCUUAGGACAAAAAAAUAAAAUCAUAAAAGGAAAAAUUGAUAAAUUAGACUUCAUCAAAUUGAAAAACUUCUGCUUUUCAAAAGACAUUGUUGAAAAAAUAUAAAGAUAAAUGCCAGACUGGGAGGAAAAUGUUCUCAAUACAUAUAGCUAGGAAAGCGUUUGCAUCUAGAAUAUAUAAAGAACUUUUACAAAUCAAUAAUAAGAAAGCAAACACUGUAGUUCAGUUAGAGAAAAGAAUGGUCUUUUCGGUAAAUUGUUCUUGUUUGUUAGAUAUUCUUAAGGGGGAAAAAAAAAGGAAUUUGACCCCUAAUUCACACCAUACGCAAAAAUCAACUCCAGGUAUUCGUAAUCCUAAUGGAAAAGGCAAAGCAAUAAAAGAAAGGAAGACACAGGACACAAACUCUUACAUGUAUAUGUACUGAUGCAUUUGCUAAGUGCUAUGAGAGCACUUAAUAUAUAUAUCUGAAAAAAUAUAUAAUAUAUCAUAUAUAUUAUAUAUAUGAUCAUUCAAAUAAAAUUUAACCAUGCAACCAAAAUUAAGUUAAUCAAAAUUUAAAAUUUCUGUUUCUCAAAAACAUAAACUAUAUGUAUAUUUAUUUUAUAUGUGUGUGUCUCUCAGGCUUAAGUCCUAAGUUCACCCCAAAUAAAACUUAACUUUAAACUUUCAGGUUGUUUAUUUACAUACAAAUAAAUUGUAUAUAGACUUAUUUUAUACA